UACGGAGGGUGCAAGCGUUAUUCGGAAUUACUGGGCGUAAAGCGCGUGUAGGCGGCCCGACAAGUCUGAUGUGAAAGCCCCGGGCUUAACCCGGGAAGUGCAUUGGAAACUGUCGGGCUUGAGUACUGGAGAGGAUGGGGGAAUUCCCGGUGUAGAGGUGAAAUUCGUAGAGAUCGGGAGGAAUAUCAGUGGCGAAGGCGCCCAUCUGGACGGUUACUGACGCUGAGACGCGAAAGCGUGGGGAGCAAACAGG
rnacentral:rRNA from 1 species